UACGGAGGGUGCAAGCGUUAUCCGGAUUCACUGGGUUUAAAGGGUGCGUAGGUGGGUUGGUAAGUCAGUGGUGAAAUCUCCGAGCUUAACUUGGAAACUGCCAUUGAUACUAUCAGUCUUGAAUACCGUGGAGGUCAGCGGAAUAUGUCAUGUAGCGGUGAAAUGCUUAGAUAUGACAUAGAACACCAAUUGCGAAGGCAGCUGACUACGCGAAUAUUGACACUGAUGCACGAAAGCGUGGGGAUCAAACAGG
rnacentral:rRNA from 2 species